GGAGGAGUCGGAUAGCGGUUUAUUCCACAGACCUGGAAAGUCUGCGUCCAGCAAUGGACUCGCGGGUUCGAAUCCCGCCUCCUCCG
rnacentral:tRNA from 1 species